UACGUAGGGGGCUAGCGUUGUCCGGAAUCAUUGGGCGUAAAGAGCGUGUAGGCGGCUCGGUAAGUCCGCUGUGAAAGUCCAGGGCUCAACCCUGGAAUGCCAGUGGAAACUGUCGAGCUAGAGUCCGGAAGAGGCGAGUGGAAUUCCCGGUGUAGCAGUGAAAUGCGUAGAGAUCGGGAGGAACAUCAGUUGCGAAGGCGGCUCGCUGGACCAGCACUGACACUGAGGCGCGACAGCGUGGGGAGCAAACAGG
rnacentral:rRNA from 1 species